GGGGCCGGUUUCGGAGACAGGGCUUAAAUCAAGACUGAAGUAGGCCUAAAUCAGACUAGUUAAUCCUGGCUAUUUAAGUGGCUUGCAUGAACAUGGCAUAAAUUUGGCUUAGUUAGUCUGAGACUAUGGAGUCCUGGAGUAAGCUUAAUGAGAACACCUGGUUCAAGCCUCAUUAGACUAAGUGGAAGCACAGGCUGUUGGUCCAAUUGUGCUCAUGAAAACCUGAAAUGGAGUAUGAAACACCAUUGUUGCAGUGAAUUUUGAGACAACACAAUGUCAGAGGCAAAGAGAAUUCGCUCCAAAAAUUAUAGUGAGCAUGAAAAAGCACUACUAAAACUAAUUGUAUCGAACCAUCCAGUCAUUGAAAGCAAAAUCCAUACUGCUGCUAUUGAACAUAAGAAAAGAAGUGCUUGGACUGCAAUUGGCAAAGAAUUCAAUGCAAAUGAAGAUGUCACCACAAGAACAGUACAACAACUGCAGGUGAGUUAAUCUUCAUUAUUAGGCACAAAAAUAUGUGUUUGUUUCCUGUUGCCUAUACCCUGCUUAUUUAUGGCCUACCCAAAUACAAUACUCCUGCUGCUUGUAGCAUUCACAUUGAAUGAAUAUCCUGUUUAAAAGGAUAGUAACCUAUUUUAAAGGGGCAUAUGCAUGUUAAACAUGGUGGUAGAGUAAGAUAUGUUGCACAAAGGAAAAUCCAUACCUAUAUGUGAGGGGGAAAGAAAUAUACAAUCAUUUCUCCACCAUGACCUAAAUUAUCAGGAGACAAACUUAUUUUUAUUAUGCCUUAUCAGUACCAGUAUUUCAGAUUUCCCAUAUUACUAUUUUUGUGACAUCAAAAAAGAAAACUAAUGAAUGAUAUCUGCCUUCAUAGGUUCUAUGGAAGAACAUUAAACUGGGAUUAAAAAAAGAGAAUGCAGCAAGCAGAAGAGAGCGAUUUAUUACAGGUGGUGGACCACCAAUAAAGGACACAUGUGAUGAAUUGGGUGACUUGCUGUCUGGUAUAAUAGAGCACCAGCAACCUCUGGAUGGUAUACCAGACAAUGACCAUUUGGACAGUGAACAUGGAGAACUGAGCACAAAUGAGGAAACCAAUCAAGAGCCAGUUCACAACGAGCCUGAACCCUCCACAUCUGCUAUGGCACCCCUGGGAGAUGAAGCUGCUACCAUCCAACAGAGACCAAAAAAGAUAACUAUGCAUGAAAAGUUAGCCAGAGAAUUUCAUGAGCGUAAAAUUGAAUAUUUAAAAGAAGAACAUGAAAUGAAAAUGAGAAUUCUAGAGGUUGAACUGGAUAUGAAAUUGGGAGAGAGGGCUAUGCUCCAAAAAAGAAUUCUGCAUACUAGUAGCCAUGGUGAAUAUGAGGAAUUGUGAAAAAUAAAAAUAAAUGUAUUGUCAUUUGGCGUGUGAGUGAGUAUUAAUCAUCACAAACUACAUUUUA